AUGUCUGCCAAUGUAGACAAAGUGAGAAGUCAGUCCAGCACAAGAAGAGAUGAUAGAAGAAGUACUGAGUCCUCCACAAGAAGAGAUUACAUUAGAAGAGAUGACAAAGGAAGUACAGAGACUGCCAGAAGAAGAGAUGACAAAAGAAAUACUGAGACUGCCAGAAGAAGCGAUGACAAAAGAAGUACUGAGACUGCCACAAGAAGAGAUGACCGAAGAAGUACUGAGACCGCCAUAAGAAGAGAUGACAGAAGAACAACAAGUACAGGGAAAGAAAAAAUUAAAAGGAAAAGCCGCAGUAGAUCGUCAUCUUCCUCCUCAUCCAGCUCAUCCUCGUCAUCGGGAUCCUCUUCAUCAUCCUCAUCCAGCUCCUCGUCUGGCAGUAGGAGUAGUUCGAGCAGCAGUGAUUCCCACAGCAAGUCCAGAAAGAAUUCUAAGAAAAGGAAAAAGGAAAAACAACUCAAAAAGAAAGGGAAAAGGGAGAAAAAGCUUAAACGGAAGAAGGACAAGAAAAUGAAGACGGAGGAGGAAAGCGCUGGACCUGGACCUAUUCAGAUAUCCAAGUAUUUAAAAGAGAGAAAGAGAAAAAGCAAGUUCAGCAUGAUUUCAGGAAAGAAGAUAAAAAUGAAAUUGAAGAAGUCAAAGAAAGACAAGCUGAUUUUUGUGUGUGUUUAUUGUUUUCAACAGAGAGACAAGAAUCGCGCAGAACUGCUUGAAUUCCUCAACUCCACGUUGUAA
rnacentral:lncRNA from 8 species